rfam:Oryza glaberrima chromosome 8 Oglab08_0017_14, whole genome shotgun sequence.
AAUAAAUAUAGUUUUGCACUCUAAUGUUUAACCAUCCGUUUUAUUUUAAAAAAACUUUUAUUAUUAGUAUUUUAUUGUGAUUAGAUGAUAAAACAUGAAUAGUAUUUUAUGUGUGACUAAUUUUCUUUUAAUUUUUUUAAUAAGACGGACGGUCAAACGUUAAACACGAAUACCUACGAUUGUACUUAUU